UUGGAGGGCAAGUCUGGUGCCAGCAGCCGCGGUAAUUCCAGCUCCAAUAGCGUAUAUUAAAGUUGUUGCCGUUAAAAAGCUCGUAGUUGAACCUUGGACCGGGCUGAUCUGUCCUCCUAAUCGAGCGUACGGAUUCGGUCGGGUCUUUCCUUCUGGGGAACCCGAUGUUCUUUAUUGGGCGUCGUGGGGAACCAGGACUUUUACCUUGAAAAAAUUAGAGUGUUCAAAGCAGGCCUUUGCUCGAAUACAUUAGCAUGGAAUAAUAGAAUAGGACAUCGGUUCUAUUUUGUUGGUUUCUAGGACCGCUGUAAUGAUUAAUAGGGAUAGUCGGGGGCGUCCGUAUUCAAUUGUCAGAGGUGAAAUUCUUGGAUUUAUUGAAGACGAACUACUGCGAAAGCAUUCGCCAAGGAUGUUUUCAUUAAUCAGUGAACGAAAGUUAGGGGAUCGAAGACGAUCAGAUACCGUCGUAGUCUUAACCAUAAACUAUGCCGACUAGGGAUCGGACGGUGGUUUUUUUAUGCCCCGUUCGGCGCCUUACGGGAAAC
rnacentral:rRNA from 1 species